rnacentral:lncRNA from 9 species
GGGCCGCUCUCUGCCAGGCUUAGCUCGGGUCAAGGGCGCAGGGCCGGGAGAGGAUGUUGGCCGCGGCCCCCGACGCCAAGUGGGCACGGAUUGCCACUGGCGACAGGUAGAUUUCUCUCUCUGGGAAAUCUGCCAAACGCUUUUCUAAAGCUCCCAGCGUGUCCUCUGCCUGCAGCCCCUACCCUACGCCCCCCAGCUCAGGCGCCUCGCUCCAGGCAGGUCGCCUCUGGGCCUUUGCACAGAACGUCCGGUUGUCGCUGGCGUCGCCCACUGUGAACUGGCCCUAGAUUCUCCCAGACCCAGAAUAGUGCUCCUGCUUUACGCACCGCACGCAGCCUCUGCAGUGCAACCCGAGCUGCCUGGGACCUAGGACCGACCCCUCCCUGCGAGGACCCCGGCUCGGCUGGCCUGCACAGGAGCCUGGCUCCGCGCUGGUUACACCAGUCACCGCCAGGCGGCGCGCGCCCCAGCUGACCUCGUUAGCGAUGUCUCUCCUUGUGAUCCCCACUCUGAGCCCCAGCCCAGCGCUGGGCAGUUUGUGCCGACAGCUGGGGGAAGACUUCCAUGUGCUAAUGAACUCCGUAGGUCGUCGGCAGCCAGAGAAACCCACCGCAAAUAACAGCGCAAGCCCGGUGCGUCUUAGGAGCAUUUGGCGAAGGGCCUUCCGGGGCCCCGUGCAGACAGGAGAUUCGCCAGCUGAUGAUGAGGCCCUGGAUGAAAGCUAGGAAUUCGAGCCCCUGCUGCUGGAGGGAGGCUGGCGUCUUCAAGAGCACCUACUGAAAAAUUGGUCGUGUCCAGUGACUGAGCAGUCCUCAUGCUGGCCCGAAGCCCAGCCAGGAUCCUCCUGAGUCCCCGGAGGGAGCAAAGACAGGGCAGCUGAAUGACCACAGACGGUAAUGCAGCCAGGGCUUGGUGGGUUGGGUCCUGCAGAAGGGUGCCCAGCGGGGAGAUGAGAGGGGACUGGGGUCCA